UCAACUACUAAGUUUGAGCUCGAGGUUUUUAAUGGAAAAUGGGACUUCUCCAUUUGACAACAAAAAAUGAAAGUGGUCCUUAUUCAACAGAAAGUUGCAAAAGCUAUAACUGUCGAAUUUUCGGAUACUAUGACUGAAGAACAAAAAACAGAAUCUGAUGAACUUGCCUAUACCUCUAUCAUAUUGCAUUUGUCUGAUCAAGUGUUAAGAAAACUUGGAAAACUUGAUAAUGCCAAGGCUUUGUGGGAUAAACUUGAAGAACUGUAUUUAUCAAAGUCUUUGCCAAACAAAAUAUUUCUUUUGGAAAGAUUCUCCAGUUUUAAAAUAGACCCUUCUGAAGAUUUAGAAGAUAAUCUUGAUGUCUUUAAUAAAUUGGUUCAAGCUAUAACUAAUUCUGAUGAUAAGGUUUCAGAGGAAUACAAAGCUGUCAUUCUUCUAAAUUCAUUACCUGAAGCCUAUAAAGAUGUUAAAACUGCUAUUAAGUAUGGCAGGGAUGAAUUGACUCUUGAAGUUGUUGUUGAUUCAUUAAGAAGUAAAGAAUUAGAACUUAAAUCUGAAAGGCAUGGAAGGGAAUCUAAGAAUCUGUUUGCUAGAGGUAGAUCACUGACCAGGCAAGCUAGUAGUCAUGAAAAUCAAAAUCAUCAAGGAAAUAACAAUAACAAUAAGAGAUGGAAAGGAAGACCUAGGUCAAAGUCUAGGACUGGAAAUAGAAAGUGUUAUGGAUGUGGUAAAACUGAUCAUUUUAUUAAAGAUUGUUACAAAAAAAAAGAAUGAACAGAGAGAGAAAAAGGUAGAUGAGGGAAAUGUAGUUGAGCCCCUAGGAGAUAAAACUAUGGAUGUCUAUGUUGUUAUAGAACCUAUUACUAACCUUAAUACUGUGAAUUUUUCUGAAAAUAAUGACCAGGGUCAAGAGUGGAUCCUUGACUCUAGCUGCACCUUCCAUAUGACUUCUAAAAGAACUUGGUUAGAAAAUUUUAAAGAAAUAAAUGGUGGUGAGGUAGUAAUGGGUAACAGUGCUGCAUGUAAAGUUGAAGGAAUUGGCAGUGUGACUUUGAAAUUUGAUAAUGGAUAUAUCUUUACCCUAGAAAGAGUAAGAUAUGUUCCUGAUUUAAAUAGAAAUUUAAUUCCAAUGCGAAAUCUAGAUGACAUUGGCCUAAAAGAUAAAUUUGGUGAUGGAUUGUUAAAAGUAAUUAAAGGUUCACUUGUAAUAUUUAAGGGUGCCAAAAGGAAUGGUAUAUAUGUCACUAGAGUUGAAGUUAUUUCAAGUCACAUUGCUGAGUCCUCUACAGCUGAGGUUGAUGCCACUUUAAAAUGGCACAACAAGUUAGCUUAUAUGAGUGAAAGAGGUCUGUACAUCUUGAAUUAAAAAGGUGUUCUUGGAAAAGAUAAUAUUUCAAAAAUCCCAUUCUGUGAGCAUUGUACUCUAGGUAAACAACAUAGACUUCACUUUAAUACUAGAAAGCAUGAGACUACUUCAAUUUUGGAAUAUGUAUAUGCUGAUUUGUGGGGACCCUCGUCUACCAUCACUCAAGGUGGAAACAAAUAUUUUGUAUCUCUGAUUGAUGAUUUUUCAAGAAAGGUUUGGAUUUUUCUGUUAAAACAAAAGUGAUACUUUUGAAAAAUUUAAAAUUGGAAAAUCUUAAUUGAAAAUCAGACUGGGAAGAAAAUGAAGAUUUUAAGAACUGAUAACGGUCUAGAAUUUUGUAACACUAAUUUUGAUUAAUUAUGCAAUAAUAGUGGGGUCAUUAGACAUAAAACUGUUCCCUAUACUCCUCAACAAAAUGGAGCUGCUGAGAGAAUGAAUAGGACAAUUCUAGACAAGGUUAGAUGCAUGAUGAUCAGUUCUAGUGUUCCUAAAUUUUUGUGGGGGUAAAGCUGCUAUGACAGCUGUAUAUAUCAUAAAUAGAACCUCUUCUAGUACCUCAGAUGGUAAAACCCCUGAGGAAGUGUGGUAUAGAAAAAUUUCAGAUUAUGCCCACCUUAGAACCUUUAGUUAUGCUGCAUUUUCCCAUCAGAGUGUUGGGAAACUUGAACCUAGAUACAUAAAAUGUGUUUUUAUGGGGUAUCCUGAGGGUGUGAAAGGCUAUAGGUUGUGGGAUAGAAGUGUAAAGGGGUUUAGAAUGAUCACUAGUAGGAAUGUGACUUUUAAUGAGUGUGAUAUGCCUUGCAUGACUGAGAAACCUCAAGAAAUUGAACCUGUGAAAGAUAAAGAUGAGGAGAUUAGGCUGCAGGUGGAGUUUAGAACACCUGCUGAACAUACUGACGAAAUUCAGAUUAAUAAUGAGGCUGUCCCAGAAGUUGAAAUAAAAGAAAUUCGCCUGUUCAAGAAAUAGGUGAAGAAGAAAAUCCCUUAGACGAUUAUCAAUUAGCCUGGAAUAGAGUUAGAAGAGAAAUAAGGGAACCUCUUAGUAUGAGAGACUACCUAUCUCUUGUUUUAUUGUCUUUUCAAGAUUUAGCUUUUAAGGAACCUAAAUCAUAUGAAGAGACUAUGAGUUGUAAGCUGUCUAAAGAAUGCAAUUAGCUAUGGAAGAGGAAAUGAACUCCUUGUUAGAAAAUGAUACUUGGUCUUUGAUUCCAAAGCCUAAAAAUAAAUCCAUAUAAAUCCAUUAUAGACUGUAAGUGGAUUUAUAACAUAAAAGAGGGGGAAAAACUUGAAAUAGCCUACUAGGUUUAAAGCCAGAUUAGUUGCUAAGGGCUUUACACAAAAGCCUGGGAUUGAUUAUAAUGAGAUCUUCUCACUUGUGGUUAAGUAUACAACCAUUAGAGUCAUGCUUGCAUUAGUAGCUCAUUUUGACUUAGAACUUGAACAAAUGGAUGUACAAACUGCUUUUUUGCAUGGAGAUUUGGAUGAAACCAUUUAUAUGUGUCAGCCACUAGGUUUAUUGAUCCUAAAAAAUCUGAUUUUGUGUGCUUGUUAAAAAGAUCUUUGUAUGGGCUUAAACAAUCACCAAGACAAUGGUAUAAACGAUUUGAUAACUUUGUGCCAUCAAUUGGUUUUCUUAGAAGCUCAUUUGAUCAUUGUUUGUACUUUAAAAAGGAUAAAAAUGAUUUUGUGACUGUUUACCUGCUUUUAUAUGUGGAUGAUAUGUUGUUAAUAGGCCAACAUAUGAUUGAUAUUAAUGACAUUAAAAGAUCUUUAUCCUCUGAAUUUGAAAUGAAAGACUUGGGUCAUGCUAGAAGAAUCUUAGGUAUGGAUAUUAAGAGAAAUAUGUCCCAACGGGCUCUAUUUCUCUCACAAUCUACCUAUGUGGAAAAAGUGUUAUCUAAAUUUACUAUGCAUGAAUCUAAGUCUAUUACUUUACCACUUGCAAGUCAUUUUAAAUUAAAUAAAAAUUAGUCCCCU
rnacentral:lncRNA from 1 species